AUGGGAACGCGAAGAACCUUACCUACUCUUGACAUCCAGAGAACUUUCCAGAGAUGGAUUGGUGCCUUCGGGAACUCUGAGACAGGUGCUGCAUGGCUGUCGUCAGCUCGUGUUGUGAAAUGUUGGGUUAAGUCCCGCAACGAGCGCAACCCGUUAUCCUUUGUUGCCAGCGGUUCGGCCGGGAACUCAAAGGAGACGUGCCAGUGAUAAACUGGAGGAAGGUGGGGAUGACGUCAAGUCAUCAUGGCCCUUACGAGUAGGGCUACACACGUGCUACAAUGGCGCAUACAAAGAGAAGCGACCUCGCGAGAGCAAGCGGACCUCAUAAAGUGCGUCGUAGUCCGGAUUGGAGUCUGCAACUCGGACUCCAUGAAGUCGGAAUCGCUAGUAAUCGUAGAUCAGAAUGCUACGGUGAAUACGUUCCCC
rnacentral:rRNA from 1 species